rnacentral:rRNA from 1 species
GACGAACGCUGGCGGCGUGCUUAACACAUGCAAGUCGAACGGAAAGGCCCUGCUUUUGUGGGGUGCUCGAGUGGCGAACGGGUGAGUAACACGUGAGUAACCUGCCCUUGACUUUGGGAUAACUUCAGGAAACUGGGGCUAAUACCGGAUAGGAGCUCCUGCUGCAUGGUGGGGGUUGGAAAGUUUCGGCGGUUGGGGAUGGACUCGCGGCUUAUCAGCUUGUUGGUGGGGUAGUGGCUUACCAAGGCUUUGACGGGUAGCCGGCCUGAGAGGGUGACCGGCCACAUUGGGACUGAGAUACCGCCCAGACUCCUACGGGAGGCAGCAGUGGGGAAUAUUGCACAAUGGGCGGAAGCCUUAUGCAGCAACGCCGCGUGCGGGAUGACGGCCUUCGGGUUGUAAACCGCUUUCGCCUGUGACGAAGCGUGAGUGACGGUAAUGGGUAAAGAAGCACCGGCUAACUACGUG